rnacentral:lncRNA from 1 species
AUUCGGUGAUUGUAUUGGGUCGAAUGUGUUUUUUUAUGGUUCAAUUUUGAUGUUGUAUUGGGGCUAAGUUGUCGGCAUGACUUUGAGUUCUCUAGCUGGGCUGCUUCUGUUUCUUCGAAAUCUAUUUCUCUUUCUGGGUUUCUUUCUUUUAAAAUUUCUUUAGCCAGUUUAGUUAUUGUUUCAUACCCUGCUGCCCAAAAUUUAUUCUACUUGUUUGCUGGAGACAUGUUCUUUACCCGAUUUUUAGUUCAGUUUAAUAUCAUGUGAAAAAUAUAUGUUGUGUUUCGCAUGGGACUUCUUUGUAAAUGAAUGAGGCCUCAUAGAUGGUAUAGGCUCUGUUUAUAGAUAAAAGCUGAAGCAUUAAAUGGAGAUAGAUUUAGCUGUUCAGCAAGGUUUUACUUAGACAUGUUCACUCUUGUGUACUUAUCAGUUGAUAAUGGAAACAAAGAUAGUCUUUGUGUGGUCUUUGAAUCAUUGGCAAUUAUGGGUUUGCAUUGAUUACUUAUGAUAAAAUUGCAUGUGCAGUGUCUUUGCUUUCUGGAACACACGAGCGG